CUAUAACCCUCUUACUGCUUCCCCUAACCCCAUUAGUCCAAGCACUAAUAACUUAGAGACUUAGGAUAAUACCAGACCAAAAGCCUUCAAAGCUUUAAGUAGAAGUGAAAAUCUUCUAGUCUCUG
rnacentral:tRNA from 1 species